ensembl:rRNA 5S_rRNA 5S ribosomal RNA
GUUUACGGCCAUACCACCCUGAACACACCCGAUCUCGUCCAAUCUCGGAAGCUAAGCAGGGUCGGGCCUGGUUAGUACUUGGAUGGGAGACCGCCUGGGAAUACCAGGUGCUGUAAGCU